CCUACGGGAGGCAGCAGUGAGGAAUAUUGGUCAAUGUGCGCGAGCCUGAACCAGCCAAGUAGCGUGAAGGAUGAAUGCCCUACGGGUUGUAAACUUCUUUGAUAAAGGAAAAAAGUGAGGCACGUGUGCCUUUUUGUAUGUACCAUAUGAAUAAGCAUCGGCUAACUCCGUGCCAGCAGCCGCGGUAAUACGGAGGUAGCGAUCGUUCUCCGGAUUGAUUGGGGUUAAAGGGUGCGUAGGGGGGUCAUUAAGUCAGCGGCUAAAGUUGGUGGCUAAACCAUAAAAUUGCCGUUGAAACUGGUUGCCUUGCUUAUAUUUGAGGUAGGCCGCAUGC
rnacentral:rRNA from 1 species